GGGGCUGACUUGGCUUUCGACAGGAAUGGAUAGGCUUAAGUGCAUGUGAGCCGGUACGCUCUGAAACUGCCACAAUUUAUAAACGCAAACAACGCAAAUUACGCUCCAGCUUACGCAAAAGUAGCGUAAGCUUCAUCGCUUUUUGGAGCCGAUUCUAGUAUUUCUUUCUAGCAGAAAGCUAGAAUCGUCAUUCUCGCUAGAUGCUUCUUUGCUCGCACCGAAAGUAAAGGAAAAGACAAAGGUUGCUUGUGGAUUCUAUCUCGGGGCACUGGAUAACCACAAAAAGACAGCAUUGCCUACUAAACAUGUAGAUUCUUAAGAAGCUUCAUUUUUGGACUGGGGUUCAACUCCCCACAGCUCCACCA
rnacentral:tmRNA from 1 species